CGUUAUUCGGGGCGAGUAGGCGGGGGAAUCGGGGGGGUGUGGGGGUUGUCCGGAAUCACUGGGCGUAAAGGGCGCGGAGGCGGUCCCCUAAGGGUGUGGUGAAAGCUCGGGGCUCAACCCCGAGUCGGGCGUGCAAACUGGGGGACUGGAGCAUGUCAGAGGCAGGCGGAAUUCCGGGUGUAGCGGUGGAAUGCGUAGAGAUCCGGAAGAACACCGGUGGCGAAGGCGGCCUGCUGGGACAUGGCUGACGCUGAGGCGCGACAGCGUGGGGAGCAAACAGGAUUAGAUACGCGUUUAGUC
rnacentral:rRNA from 1 species